rnacentral:misc_RNA from 1 species
GAAAUGCGAUAAGUAAUGUGAAUUGCAGAAUUCAGUGAAUCAUCGAAUCUUUGAACGCACCUUGCGCUCCUUGGUAUUCCGAGGAGCAUGCCUGUUUGAGUGUCAUUAAAUUCUCAACCUUAUUAGCUUUUGCUGAUAAUGGCUUGGAUGUUGGGGGUCUGUUUUGCCGGCUUCUUCAGAAGUCAGCUCCCCUUAAACGCAUUAGCCGGUGCCCCAUGUGGACUGUCUAUUGGUGUGAUAAUUAUCUACGCCGUGGAUGUUUGCAAAUGAUAUGGGUUUUUGUGCUGCUUCUAACUGUCUGUUCAUUCAGACAAUACAUGACAAUUUGACCUCAAAUCAGGUAGGACUACCCGCUGAACUUAA